CUUGCAGGCCGAUCUAUCGUCCCGACAGCAAUGGCGGGGAGGAAAGUCCGGACAACGCAGGGCAACACACCACGUAACGCGUGGGUCUCAAAGCGAUUUGAGAACAGAUAGGGUCACAGAAAAUAACCGGCCUGGGGUAAAACCCGUGCUAAGGGUGAAAAUGUGUGGUAAGAGCACACGGUCUCGUCAGGUAACUAAUGAGGCGGAUAAACCUUGUGUGUUGAAAUGUCAUGUAUACCAUGGUUGGUGGCGAUACCGGGCAACCGGGGUCGCUGCGAGUUGGGCGGCCCGUUCAACUGUGUCUGACACAUCCAUGGAGGGUAGGCAGCUAGAAUCCCGAUCGUGAGGCCGGGAUCCAGAUAAAUGAUAGAUCAGGGGCGAGGUAAACUCGCCUUGGACAGAAUCCGGCUUACAGGCCUGCAAUUUUU
rnacentral:RNase_P_RNA from 1 species